CAACAGAGCAAUUUUGUCUUUACUGUUCCAAUACUUUUGGAGGGCACUGUAUAUUAGUAUUCUUCCAAAAAUAUCAUAAACAUUCUAAGAUAAAAUGUUGCUUGCGGCCCCUGAAGUGAUGAGGAAAGAGAUGUCUCUUAUUUGAAGUGGAGGGAUCAUGACUGGAUGAUCAGAGAUAUGCUCAUCCACCUCCUCCCACCAGAGACCCUACAGUCUCAGACGAAGACUUCUUCAGCCUCAUCCUUCACUUCCGGGUCAAAUGGAUAGAUGAGCAGAGAGUCAUCUUACCGUCAGACACAAGACCCCUUCAGAACAACCCUGACUGACAUGUUCUUUAUGAAGCCAGAAUACUAUUUUUGGACCUUGCAACCUCACUGAAGUCUUACUCGUGAAUCAUUGCCUUGUUGAAAAUCAGAGCCAACCUGAUGAUUUCUCUUCUCACUUCACAAGAUUUUUGAAGGAGGAGAUGCAUGAAGUUCUUUUAUUCUUGCUACUACCAUGAUCUGAACUGGAUUCAGACGUUUCUGUGCAGAAUAUAUGCUUAUAUUCAGACCAAGACCGCACUCUCUUUCUCAGGGAUUCAGUGUUUCACUCUUAUUCUUCUCUGGAGCGAAUAAAUAAAUAACUCUCAGACAACUACUUUGUAUCCGUGACUCUAAUGAGUCAAAUAACAAUCACAUUGUUACAUCCUUACUUUUU